rnacentral:rRNA from 1 species
AUGACGACCAUCACCGACACCCUCCAGAUGAUGUCGGAGGCGGCUCCCGGUGGACUGGAGCGCACAGAGUGGUCGGAGGUCGUCGCGCUCGGCGAUGUGGUGUCCAGGCAGGCCACCGUCGCUGGGAUGGUCUGGAGCGGAGACUUGCCUGGUGUGGAAACGCUCAAGGAGAACAUUGCUGCGUAUUUCAACGUCCUGCAGGGUUUCCUUUUGGCCUGCCAUGGAAGCACGGUCGGUGCCGGUCCUACGCUUCACAAGUAUAUCACUAGUUCUGCAAAAGGCGUGGUGGAUGCCAGCUUCUCGUUGUUCAAGCUUGCUGUUUCUACCUAUGCGAAGUGCGGCUGGACGACCGAGGCUGCUAUUCUGCCUUGA